ensembl:rRNA 5S_rRNA 5S ribosomal RNA
GUCUAUGGCCAUAAUACCCUGACCACCUGAUUUCAUCUGAUCUCAGAAGCUAAGCAGGGUUGUGCCUGGUUAGUACUUGGAUGGGAAACAGAGCAAAAAGACAACCUACAGAAU